GACGAACGCUGGCGGCGUGCUUAACACAUGCAAGUCGAACGGAAAGGCCCUGCUUGCAGGGUACUCGAGUGGCGAACGGGUGAGUAACACGUGGGUGAUCUGCCCUGCACUUCGGGAUAAGCCUGGGAAACUGGGUCUAAUACCGGAUAGGAGCCAUUUUUAGUGUGAUGGUUGGAAAGUUUUUUCGGUGUAGGAUGAGCUCGCGGCCUAUCAGCUUGUUGGUGGGGUAAUGGCCUACCAAGGCGGCGACGGGUAGCCGGCCUGAGAGGGUGGACGGCCACAUUGGGACUGAGAUACGGCCCAGACUCCUACGGGAGGCAGCAGUGGGGAAUAUUGCACAAUGGGCGCAAGCCUGAUGCAGCGACGCCGCGGGGGGGAUGACGGCCUUCGGGUUGUAAACUCCUUUCGCUAGGGACGAAGCUUUUUGUGACGGUACCUAGAUAAGAAGCACCGGCUAUCUACGUG
rnacentral:rRNA from 1 species